rnacentral:rRNA from 1 species
AGUGAACGCUGGCGGUAGGCCUAACACAUGCAAGUCGAACGGCAGCACAGUAAGAGCUUGCUCUUACGGGUGGCGAGUGGCGGACGGGUGAGGAAUACAUCGGAAUCUACUUUUUCGUGGGGGAUAACGUAGGGAAACUUACGCUAAUACCGCAUACGACCUACGGGUGAAAGCAGGGGAUCUUCGGACCUUGCGCGAUUGAAUGAGCCGAUGUCGGAUUAGCUAGUUGGCGGGGUAAGGGCCCACCAAGGCGACGAUCCGUAGCUGGUCUGAGGGGAUGAUCAGCCACACUGGAACUGAGACACGGUCCAGACUCCUACGGGAGGCAGCAGUGGGGAAUAUUGGACAAUGGGCGCAAGCCUGAUCCAGCCAUACCGCGUGGGUGAAGAAGGCCUUCGGGUUGUAAAGCCCUUUUGUUGGGAAAGAAAAGCAGCAGGUUAAUACCCCGCUGUUCUGACGGUACCCAAAGAAUAAGCACCGGCUAACUUCGUG